rfam:Triticum aestivum genome assembly, contig: Triticum_aestivum_CS42_TGACv1_scaffold_320385_4BL
UAGAUACUCCCUCCAUCCCAAAAUUAUUGUCUUAAAUUUUUCCAAAUACGGAUGUAUGAAGUCGCGUUUUAAUAUUAGGUACAUCGGUAUCUAGACAAAUCUAAGACAAGAAUUUUGGGAUGGAGGGAGUACUAU